CCUAGGAAUAUUUCACCUGCUUAGCUCCUGCAUUUAGUGGACAUCUACUGAUCUUGAAAAACCCCAUUCCCUUUACAAAGUGUUCCCUGACACCCCCAAUUGCCUUUCUCUGUAUCCCCAGUCACCUUUAUCUUGACCCUUUCCUAGAAUUUAUUGGUUGAUAGCUCUCUCUGUCUUUGCAACCAGGUAAUGUCUUCCUUGAAAAUAGGGCCAGUGUGUGAUUCACCUCUCUAGCCCCAGUGCCCUGAUCCCAGUUUACUGACUGACUGGUGCCUUGAUUCUCUGAGUUAGCCCAGCUCGGUCGCUGCCUUCCUACUUCCAAAGAAUUCUGGUCUAGGCAUCAGUUGCACUCUGUCUCCAUGCAGAAGUAAGAACUGAUUGAGCUACCAGACUCCUUCCUGGACGUUUUUUCUGUUUUGUUUUGUUUUGUUUUGUUUGUUUUUCCACUCCUCUAGUUCAGCUCUGCAGCUGACCCAUCAGCCAGUGCCAGAGGAGGGGACAGGAGGAGAGAGGAGGAGCAGAGUGGGUUGGACCAGGUCGACCCAGAAGUCUCAAAAGGCUGGAAAAUUUCAGGGCGUUUGUCAUCCCAGGGGCUGCCUAGUGGGCAGGGAAGUCUUCCACUCUGUGACCCCGGUCUUCCUCACACAGGAGCCUCCAGCGGUCCUGCUGGGGUCUCAGUCUUCAGCCCGACGUCCUGGAGGCGCCAAAGCACAGGGGCUCAAAAUGAUUAACAUGCAAACGGUGAGAUGUUCGGCUUGAGUCUACGCGCGGGCGAAGAUGCCUCUGUCGCCCCAAACAGUGUCCUUCGCGACGGCGGAAAACUACAGCCCGCCCCCGCUCCUGUGCCUGCUCAGGAAGCCGUGACAAAGCCAGUGCCCGCCGGUGCCCAGAAUGAAGGUGGAAAAAGCCGAGCGCUCCUGCUCGGGGGCGGGGUUGAGAGGGGGAGAUUAAUCCGGGCAAGCCAAGGGGACCUUAGACUUGCAACCAGGGCCGCCACCCGAGGAGCCCGCAUGCAGGGACGCUCCUGAAGGCUUAGGCAAACCCAGGGAAAUGCCCUCCCCUGCCUGCAGAAUCCCCACGCCGUCUCUUACUUCCUCCCUCUUUGCCACUGCCGAGCUUACACUUGCACACACACACACACCCCUCUCUGUGACCGCAACAAACUUUGUGAAACUUGAACUGCUGGGUGCAAACUUCACGCCCUUUUCUCCUUUCCUCUCUUGCCUGGGCCGGCUCCUCCUGGAGCAGGGAGGGAAGAGGUUCUUGGCCUCCAGACCUGGGAGAGGAGUUUCGGAAAGUCAGGGCCCGCCUCGCUGUGACAUUAGACCCUUGCCACCCCACCAGACCGACGGACACUAAACACAUUCCUUGCCGGAAGGAGCUAGUAGUUGCAGCGGCCAGGCUUGGCAGGUCCCUGGCCAACCACCCCGCCACUGCCCUGGCCGGACUUUCCCAGGGCGUUGGUCUCCUGGUUCCUAUUAAGUCGGGGCUGUCCUGGGCUUGGAGCCCAGGUUCAGGGCUGUCAGCCCCUUGCCAGCUGUCUGAGCUCUCUGCCUUUCUAGUUUAUUUUCCCCCAGUUCUCGCCCUGGGUUAGCUCUCUCCCAGCCCUCCACCUGUCUCCGUCUCUGACUCCAUCUCUGGCUCCAUCUCUGGCAGGGCUGCCACUGUCUCUCUGUCUCUCCCUGUCUCUCUGUCUCUCUUGUUUGUUUCAACGCGCGGACACUGAUUGCGCCUUAUGAAGUUCUAACUGGUUUUGUGUCAGGAAGAUCUUUCUCGCUGCUACCCAGCCUGGCGUGACGGAUUAAACAUCAACUAGUUAAAUAAAAAUUAAUAUCAACUGCCUCCUAA